CCUACGGGAGGCAGCAGUGGGGAAUUUUGGACAAUGGGCGAAAGCCUGAUCCAGCCAUGCCGCGUGCAGGAUGAAGGCCUUCGGGUUGUAAACUGCUUUUGUACGGAACGAAACGGCCUUUUCUAAUAAAGAGGGCUAAUGACGGUACCGUAAGAAUAAGCACCGGCUAACUACGUGCCAGCAGCCGCGGUAAUACGUAGGGUGCAAGCGUUAAUCGGAAUUACUGGGCGUAAAGCGUGCGCAGGCGGUUAUGUAAGACAGUUGUGAAAUCCCCGGGCUCAACCUGGGAACUGCAUCUGUGACUGCAUAGCUAGAGUACGGUAGAGGGGGAUGGAAUUCCGCGUGUAGCAGUGAAAUGCGUAGAUAUGCGGAGGAACACCGAUGGCGAAGGCAAUCCCCUGGACCUGUACUGACGCUCAUGCACGAAAGCGUGGGGAGCAAACAGGAUUAGAUACCCUUGUAGUC
rnacentral:rRNA from 1 species